rnacentral:rRNA from 1 species
UGCCAGCAGCCGCGGUAAUACGGGAGUGGCAAGCGUUAUCCGGAAUUAUUGGGCGUAAAGCGUCCGCAGGCGGCCCUUCAAGUCUGUUGUUAAAGGUUAGGGCUCAACCCUAAAAAAGCAAUGGAAACUGAUUAACUAGAAUCCGGUAGGGAAAAGUGGAAUUUCUAGUGUAGGGGUGAAAUCUGUUGAUAUUAGAAAGAACACCAAUGGCGAAGGCAACUUUUUGGGCCUGGAUUGACGCUGAGGCGCGAAAGCAUAGGGAGCAAACAGGAUUAGAUA